GUCCUCGUAGUUCAACGGAUAGAACAUAGGCUUGCGGAGCCUAGGAUCCAAGUUCGAUUCUUGGCGAGGGCA
rnacentral:tRNA from 1 species